rnacentral:rRNA from 1 species
CCUACGGGCGGCAGCAGUGGGGAAUAUUGGGCAAUGGGCGCAAGCCUGACCCAGCAACGCCGCGUGAAGGAAGAAGGCUUUCGGGUUGUAAACUUCUUUUCUGAGGGACGAAGAAAGUGACGGUACCUCAGGAAUAAGCCACGGCUAACUACGUGCCAGCAGCCGCGGUAAUACGUAGGUGGCAAGCGUUAUCCGGAUUUAUUGGGUGUAAAGGGCGUGUAGGCGGGAAAGCAAGUCAGAUGUGAAAACUCAGGGCUCAACCCUGAGCCUGCAUUUGAAACUGUUUUUCUUGAGUGCUGGAGAGGCAAUCGCAAUUCCGUGUGUAGCGGUGAAAUGCGUAGAUAUACGGAGGAACACCAGUGGCGAAGGCGGAUUGCUGGACAGUAACUGACGCUGAGGCGCGAAAGCGCGGGUAUCGAACAGGAUUAGAUACCCGGGUAGUC